AUUGAACGCUGGCGGCAGGCCUAACACAUGCAAGUCGAACGGCAGCGGGGGAUAGCUUGCUAUCCUGCCGGCGAGUGGCGGACGGGUGAGUAAUGCAUGGGGAGCUGCCCAGUCGAGGGGGAUAACAACUGGAAACGGUUGCUAAUACCGCAUACGCCCUAAGGGGGAAAGGUGGGGAACUUCGGUCCUACCGCGAUUGGAUGCGCCCAUGUGGGAUUAGCUAGUUGGUGAGGUAACGGCUCACCAAGGCGACGAUCUCUAGCUGGUCUGAGAGGAAGACCAGCCACACUGGAACUGAGACACGGUCCAGACUCCUACGGGAGGCAGCAGUGGGGAAUAUUGCACAAUGGGGGAAACCCUGAUGCAGCCAUGCCGCGUGUGUGAAGAAGGCCUUCGGGUUGUAAAGCACUUUCAGUCAGGAGGAAGGGGUGAUGGCUAAUAUCCAUCAUCAUUGACGUUACUGACAGAAGAAGCACCGGCUAACUACGUGCCAGCCGCCGCAGUAA
rnacentral:rRNA from 1 species